CGAAUGUGCUGCUGACGUUGUUGAUUCAAAUGUUGUUUUGAGGGACUUUUCGAUAGAAUCUCACAGAAAUUGUUGUUCAUAAUGCCGAGAAGAAAACAGAACUACCCCAAGCGACUAAAAAACAUGAGCGCGUUCGUCCAUCUUCUUCUCAGUGUGAGAUUCAUCGUGCUGGAAGUCGAUCCCCGACGCACUCUCCAUGUCGUGAAUGAUCGUCGUGUUGUGCUCCUCCAGGGGAGACAA
rnacentral:misc_RNA from 1 species